rnacentral:rRNA from 1 species
UACAGAGACUGCAAGCGUUAUUCGGAUUCACUGGGCGUAAAGGGUGCGCAGGCGGCCGUGUGUGUGAGGCGUGAAAGCCCGGGGCUCAACCCCGGAAUUGCACCUCAAACUACAUGGCUAGAGCAUUGGAGAGGGUAGCGGAAUUCACGGUGUAGCAGUGAAAUGCGUAGAUAUCAGGAAGAACACCCGUGGCGAAGGCGGCUCUCUGGGACGGUACUGACGCUGAGACGCGAAAGCGUGGGGAGCGAACAGG